rnacentral:tRNA from 1 species
AACCUCGUAGCUCAGUUGGUAGAGCGUACGCUUUACAAAGUUGGGACUGUAAUCCCUUCGUAGGUUCGACGCCUGUCGAGAUUG